UACGUAGGGGGCUAGCGUUGUCCGGAUUUAUUGGGCGUAAAGAGCGUGUAGGCGGCUUGCCAAGUCAGGGGUGAAAUCCUGCAGCUUAACUGUAGAAGGGCCUUUGAUACUGGCGAGCUCGAGGGAGGUAGGGGUAUGUGGAACUUCCGGUGGAGCGGUGAAAUGCGUUGAUAUCGGAAGGAACGCCGGUGGCGAAAGCGACGUACUGGACCUCUUCUGACGCUGAGGCGCGAAAGCUAGGGGAGCAAACGGG
rnacentral:rRNA from 1 species